GACGCCCAGCGGAGGCAAAGGGGGAGGAGGAAAACACAUUCUGACAAAUACGGAUGCUUGUGAGCCUUGAAUAUUAAAGGACGCAGGAACACAUGACAGGAGGCUUGUGAGCUUUGACAUUAAUAAUUUACAAGAGCGGGAACUCAUCGCUACGAGACUCUUAUCUGGCCAGCUGUGGUUACAGCGACACACGGCGGCCUAAUGAAGACUGAGCAAGGAAAGAGGUCGCUAGUGAAGAAGGGUCUAGCUGUAGCUAACAUGACUGACUAGCUUGGGCGAAGUAACACAGACAGA